GAUUUAUGCCACAAAACACCAUGUUCACAUUUUAUCCUCAAAAGGAAAUGCGAUUAGCAGGCACCGACCUUGCAGUAGCGGCAUACAUUUUUGGAAUGGGAAAAGACAAAAGGGAAAUCUUGGUCUCGGACCUACAUUGCUAUGGUGAUAGGAAAGCAUUCCAAACUCUUAUCCCCGGCCGAAGAGUUGUAGACGAUAUUAUAAUCCUUGUUGCAACGAUGCUUACCUACAAUUCUGGUCGCCUAAUAUGAUAUUUGCCUCCAACAUUUGCACAACUAGCUUGUGGCUGUGGACAUUUCCAUGGUGGAACAGCCAAAUGGAUUAAGGAUAAAUACAUGGCCAAGAUAGAUGAGGUGUUGAAGAUAUAUGUACCUAUUUGGCACGACGACCAUUGGUUUUUACUGGUCAUUGACAUGUUGGCAAAGCAGCUGUUGUACUUGGAC